rnacentral:rRNA from 1 species
GACCCUUCCUAGUAAUGUCUCAAGUACGGGCUUUCCCAUCUGGAGGGUGGGAACACAUAAUAAUGAAACAACGAAACCGCUCGACGGGGAGCCCCGGAACGUACGAGCGGUCUCUUACAGUUUUGAGAAAAAUAAUUACAGCAGACUCAUGAUAUAUUAUCAAUUUUGAAAGUUGUUGCCUAGAGAACCAAGACCGUAGCUACUUCUUGCGUCGCUUUACGCUAUUCAUUACACUUAACGUCUUAAGUCACUUAGUAGCUUAGAAACUUGCGUGUAACGCGGGGAACCAUAAGGCCCCCCGUACGGACAAGCUCGCAGUAAAGUUGGGAGUUCGAGUCGAACCAUAACUCAGGUACAGUCGUUACCGUCCGAGAUUUUAGUCACCGCCGCGGCGACCCAGGACUUGCAUCAUUAUAGAGAGCAAUGUCCAAGAGCCGCACGAAGACGGUUUUGGGUUUAAAAGAUACCAACUGGAGCCUAGUCCAUCCCU